AGGCAGCAGUAGGGAAUAUUGGACAAUGGGUGCAAGCCUGAUCCAGCCAUGCCGCGUGCAGGAAGAAGGCCUUCUGGGUCGUAAACUGCUUUUCUCUGGGGAUAAAAGACCGGUGCGCCGGGCAUUGAAAGUACCAGAGGAAUAAGCCACGGCUAACUACGUGCCAGCAGCCGCGGUAAUACGUAGGUGGCAAGCGUUGUCCGGAUUUAUUGGGUUUAAAGGGUGCGUAGGCGGUUCAUUAAGUCAGUGGUGAAAUACGGCAGCUCAACUGUCGAGGUGCCAUUGAUACUGGUGAACUUGAGUACUGAUGAGGUAGGCGGAAUGGACGGUGUAGCGGUGAAAUGCUUAGAGAUCGUCCAGAACACCGAUAGCGAAGGCAGCUUACUAAAGAGUAACUGACGCUGAGGCACGAAAGUGUGGGGAUCAAACAGGAUUAGAUACCCUGGUAGUCCACACUGUAAACGAUGAUUACUCGAUGUUGGCGAUACACAGCCAGCGUCUUAGCAAAAGCGAUAAGU
rnacentral:rRNA from 1 species